UGAUUAACAUCUGCCACGUACUUGCCCAAAACCUUAUCAGAAAAAAAAGUGUAAUUGGAUUCAUGCCAUACCCUAAUAAAAAACUGUUCCUUUAAUUUUUUU